rnacentral:rRNA from 1 species
AUGCCGCGUGUAUGAAGAAGGCCUUCGGGUUGUAAAGUACUUUCAGCGGGGAGGAAGGUGUUGUGGUUAAUAACCACAGCAAUUGACGUUACCCGCAGAAGAAGCACCGGCUAACUCCGUGCCAGCAGCCGCGGUAA